UUGAAAUGUAAACGAGAAUCGGAGCAAUUGGUAUUUUUUAUUACUAAUCAGUGGAAUACCGGUCAAUACACGAAAUGGAAUUACACUGCAAAUGGAAACUAUAAUUGGAAAUUAAGCUCCUCCAAUGGUGAUUCCAGCUCCUGUAAUGGAGAAGAUGAAUAGGAAUUUAGAAUUGGAAGAAGAGGAGAAGAGAAUUAACGAGAGAAAAUCUGUUGAGAGGGAAAAUGUACCAAAUCCAUAACUGCCUUCCCUCCGUAUCAUUAGUUAGUUAUGAAUAACUAAUCAUAAUGAUUUCCGUUGUCCGAUCAUAUAUUUUGUGUGAGAUGUAAUCUGAGUCUUCCUUUUCUUGACGUUAGAGAUUAUAACACGUAUCCUUGAAUCCUUGUUCCUGAUGUUGCCAUGUCAUGUGUACACUUUCCUAAUAUUAAUCCCAGAUUAGAAGCCUCUUCACACUUCAACUGCUAACACCUAAAUCAUUACAAUAUCCCUUCGAUGAGAAAGGACCUUGUCCUCAAGGUCAUGUUUGAGACAAACUCUGGAAACUGACUGUGAAUAUAGCCCCAAUCCUCCCAAGUUGCUUUAUCUGGGCUCAUGUUAGCCAACCGCACCAAGACCUUAACACCAACGUUGUUGUUAACCUUCUCCAUUCAGCGUUGUAGUAUGGUGAUCGGUUGAAUCAAGACAUGGCCUUUCCCAUCGCAAUCUGGUGGUUGUGAUUGUUCUAGAAUAGUAGGUCCAACCCAUUCUUUCAGCUGCGAAACGUGGAACAGGGGGUGAAUAGUAGCUCCGAUCGAUAGAUCCAGAUGGUAAGCAACAAAUCCAAUCUUCUUCAAGAUUUUAUAUGGUCCAUAAAACAUAGCGCUUAAUUUGAGAUUUUCUUUGAAUAGUCACUGAUGAUUGACGAUAUAGUUGCAGCUUCAAGUAAACUAAAUCACCUUCCUGAAGCACUCUUUCCGUGCGAUUUCGAUCAGCGAAGAAAUUCAUACGAGAUUGGGCCUGCAGUAGAUUCUCCCUUAAUUUCUGAAGCAUGGCCUACCGUUGCGCAAAACAAAGACCAACUGGAGAACGUGUGGAAUGGGACAGUGAGCCCAUCGAAAGCUGGGGAGGUGGAUACCCGUAAAGAGCCUCAAAGGGGUCGUCUGCAAGGAGGUAUGAUGGUUGGUGUUAUACUACCACUCCGCUAAAGGUAACCACUACAACCAUUCUUUGGGUUUGUACUGGUCAUGGCUCGAAGAUAUGCCUCAAGGCAACGAUUAAGCCUUUCUGUUAGACCGUCCAUCUGGGGGUGGUAGGCGGUGGACAUAGCGAACUUAGUGCCCAUGGCUUUGAACAAUUGUUGACAAAAGAGACUAGUGAAAAUAGGGUCUCGAUCAGUCACAAUGGAUUGAGGCAAGCCAUGUAUUUGUAAAUUUAAAGUAAGAACACAUCUGCAACAUGCUGAGCUGUAAAUGGGUGUUUCAGGGCCAAGAAAUGGCCAUAUUUAGUCAAUCGAUCCACGACCACAAGUAUGAGAUCCUUAUGGUUAGAUAGAGGCAGUCCCUCUACAAAAUCCAUGGCUAUAUCUUUCUAAGGACUGAUGGGUACGGGUAGAGUCUGAAGCAAGCCUAAGGGGUGGAUGUUCUCAUUCUUUGUCCUCUAGCAAAUGUCACAAGCUGCAAUCUACCUAAUCACAUCCUGUUUUAUGUUAGGCCAAUAGAAAAUAGAGUGAAUUCUUCUGUAGGUACCCAACUGUCUUGAAUGACCCCCUAAGGGUGACAAGUGCAGUACCUCAAAGACUUGAGACCUCAAAUUAGUGGCUCUACCCAUGAAAUUUUUUUGCUUGUAUUGGAUGACACCAUGCACUAGAGUGUAGUUGGGCUUUCCCAUACGAUCGACAAUCAACUCUGUGAGUAUUGAGUGGAGAAUGGAUUAUGUUCAUAACUAAGAACAACCUGUUGCAUCCAAGUUGGUUCUGAUGAAGUAAGGGCAUAUGUAGAGCCUUCCUCUUCUUGUCUCCUAGAAAGGGCAUCAGCCACUCUGUUAUCAGUCCCCCUCUUGUAUUGUACUUCGUAGUAAAGGCUAAGUAGCUUAGUCAGACCGCUCAAGCAAAUAUUUGAGACUUGGUGGUCUGUCUUAAUAAUGAAGUGCCCCCUUUGUAAAUAAUGCCUCCAUUUAUUCACUACUGCCAACAAAGCCAUAUAUUCCUUUUCAUAGGUAGAUAGUCCCCAAUGCUUAGGCCAUAGAGCUUUGCUGAAAAAAGCUAAGGGUCAGCCCUCCUGCAUAAGCACAACACCCAUUCCCUUGGAGCAAACAUCAGUCUCCAUCACAAAUGUUUUAGAAAAUCCACCAAAGCAAGAACAAGGGCAGUAGUCAUGAUUGAUUUUAGGUGCUGAAAAGCUGCAUCUGCUUCACUAUUUCGGUGGAAGAAUUAUUAUUUAAUAAACUGGUUAAGGGUUUGCUUAUCACCCCAUAUAACUAGAUAAACCUCCUAUAGUAACCCGUUAACCCUAAAAAACCCUCUCAGAGCCUUAAGAGUUUUAGGUAAAGGCCAAUUAACCAUUGCAUCAAUUUUAAAGGGGUCAGUAGACACACCAUGACCCGUGAUGAUAUGACCCAAGUAUUCUACUUGUGAUUGUCCAAAAGAGCAUUUGGAUCUCUUGGCAUACAAAUGCCCUUUCCUCAAAAUAGUCAGCACUUUCUUCAAAUGUAAAAUGAGGUCUUGUAUAGUAGGACUAUACACUAAUAUGUCAUAAAAAAAGACUAAUACAAACUGCCUCAAAUAGUCUUUGAAAACUUGAUUCAUUAACCCUUGGAAAGUGGCCGAGGCAUUAGUUAAACCAAAUGGCAUGACCUUGAAUUCAUAGUAACCCAAAUGUGAUCUAAAGUCUAUUUUGUAGAUGUCCUCCUCAUUCAUUCUAAUUUGAUGAUAUCUAUCCCGUAGGUCAAUUUUUGAAAAGACAAAUGAUCUACUAAGUUCAUCCAAUAAGUCAUCAACUAAAGUAAUAGGAAACUUAUCCUUAAUAGCGAGCUUAUUGAGCUCCCUGUAAUCAAUGCAAAACCUCCAACUCCCAUCCUUUUUCUUCACUAACAGCACCGGGGAUGAAAAGGGGGAAUGACUAGGCUGAAUAAUGCCACUAUUCAACAUGUCUUUAAUUUGUUUUUCAAUCUCAUUUUUCUAAAAGAAAUUAUACCUGUAAGGUUUGAUACUAACUGGUUCUGCUUCUGGUUUAAGGGGAAUGGAGUGGUCCUGCAUCCUCUUAGGUGGCAAUGAUAAUGGUUGUACAAAUACAUCCUCAAAAAGGACCAAUGUAUCAUUAAUUUCUGCAGGUACAGUCUCUUUCUCCACCACCUCUGUUGCUGUGAUAGUGAAAAGAUGUGCCCAUAGUCCUUCCCCUUCUUCAACAUCUAUUUAAUGCUGCCCGAAGUCAUGCUUUGAAGAAUCCCUUCAUUAUACAUACCCUUGAGUUCUACUCUCCUUCCUUUAUGCGUCACUUGAGUUGAGUAAUCCAUAAAGUCCAACAACACUAGAUUGUGGUUUUUCAUAUAAUCACCUCCAAAUACAAGGUGUCUUCGAACUCAAUACUUUGUUUCUUCCAUUUAAACUUAGGAAAGAAAUGCAAACUCAUUAGUUUUACCCUAUUAAUUACAGUGACUCUCAUUGGAAUAGCUUCCUCAAUCACACAACCAAUUUGUUUAGCUGUACUCAUGUCCAUAAAACUAUGAGUGCUACCAGAGUCUAGCAAUAUUAUCAGUUCCUUCUUCUUAGAUUCCCCUUUAAGUCUGAUGGUAUUAGGAACUAUAGUACUUGAAAAGGCAUGCAAACUAAUUGCUUCAUCCAUAGGAAUCUCCUCUGGAAGCUCCAGCUGGUUCCCUGAUUCUUCUUCCUUAGACUCCACUGCAGCUGAUAUAGUAUUCAAUUGUUUGUUUCUACACUGAUGAUAUUUGUCUCCACAUUUGUAGCAUAGCCCUUGGUUCCUUCUCACUUCCCAAAGCUUGUUUGCAUUAGCUGUAGGGUUUGUAGACCCUUCCUUAGCCCCUUAGAUAGUAGGCUUAGUACUGAAAUUGUUGUUGGUGUUUGAUUGGGGGGUCCUGCUCCACACCAUUUUAUUCCUCCUGUUCAUGGUAUCCCACACCUUCUCUUGAUGUCUGGCUUUGUCGACUGCUUAACUUAAUAUAAAUGGGUUCAAUAUCUUAACUGUGUGCUUGAUUUCAUCCUUAAGCCCUUCAAUAAAGAAUCCCAAGAAAAAUUCCUCUGGAAUUGUGGGAUUUCUAAUCAAGACCCAUGCCUUCAAUUCCUCAAACUUCUUUAAAGUAGUCAUUAAUUGUACCUUUCUGCUCCAACUUCUUAAAUUCGCGCAGAAGAUUUAAGCCACUAUUUGUAGAUUCCUCAAAUCUUUUACAUAUUACUUCACUAAAUUCAGCCUAUCUAAUUGUGCCUUUGCUCAGGUGAUAUGAGAAGUACCACUACUCUGCUUUGCCAUUCAGGUGUAGCACUGCCAUAUCCAGUCUUUGCAGCCGAUCCUCAACAUGGUUAAAGUAAAAGUAUCGCUCACACUUCCUCAACCAAGACUUGGGGUUGCUGUCCUCAAAAUAUGAGAAUUCGAUCUUAUAUGCUUUGUAAAAUUUAUUAGGCCUGUUCAGCGGUGGAUCAAAGCAUCCUACUAUGUGAGGUUGCUGCCCAGGCCCUUCCGCUUGUUGUUGUCCCCUAGGAGGACUACCCAAAAUACCAUCGUGAGGUGGAAGAAGCCGCUCCAUCAACACAUCCAACAUGCAACCUCGUUCGUUGAUCUUCGCGUCACUCAACCCCAAUUUCUGAUUUAUAUCUGCCAUGUAUUGUUGUAGCUAGGUGUCAAUUUUCUUAAUGUGCUCUUCUGCAGCUUUUGCCUUAGUUUUCGCCAUCUUUGAUUUGGUCAGGAUUUUCUCUGAUACCACUUGUAAUACUCUUGAAGUGUAAACGAGAAUCGAAACAACUGGUAUUUUUUAUUACUAAUCAAUGGAAUACAGUUUAAUACACAAAAUGAAAUUACAUCGCAAAUGAAAACUAUAACUAGAAAUUAAGCUCCUCCAAUGGCGAUUCUAGCUCCUAUAAUGGAGAAAAUGAAUAGGAAUUUGGAACUAGAAAAUAGAAGAGAAUUAACGAUAGAGAAAAUCUGUUGAGAGGGAAUAUGUACC
rnacentral:lncRNA from 1 species